rnacentral:tRNA from 1 species
CAAGAGAUAGUUUAAUUAAAACAGUAGCUUUGGGAGUUACCAAUGUAAGUGAAAGCCCUACUCUCUUGA